rnacentral:tRNA from 1 species
GGGAACGUUUACAUGGGUAAGUUAAAACGAUUGCUAAUUGUUGGAAUUCAGGUUCCUUAUGAGUUCGAAUCUCAUCGUUCCCG